rnacentral:lncRNA from 1 species
UAGCUGUACUCUUUAGUCACUAUAAUGCUUUCUUCACCAAUAUUUUGUCCUUUUCUCCGACAGACAUAAAAUAAUCAAUACUCCUUAAACAGUCAUAAUAGAGAGCAGUCCUGAUGAUGAUCUGGUGAACCUGGAGGUUUUAGAUGAGGAGACCCUCAUCAAACACCUCUCGAAGAGAUAUUACGAGCUUCAGAUAUACACCCUUAUUGCUCUCAAUCCCUUUCAAACUCUAAGCAUCUACUCGGAACAGGUUAGUUUAUGACAGCAGUGUCAUUGUGUGUCAUAAUUCCUGUGAAUACCUCUGUAAAGACAGAACGGUAUUGAUAUUGUAAUAUGGUGUGUUUGCUCACAGUUCUCUAAGGUGGAGCGAGCCGACAGUCCUCCACACAUCUUUGCUGCUGCUGAUGCAGCAUACCAGGGCAUGAUGACCUUCUGCAAAGACCAGGCACCUUUGGAGAGAGUGGAGCUGGGAAGACAGUGCCCAUCUGAUUGUCCAGCAUCUCACCUGCAUGGGAAAGGUACUGUUUGUGUGCUAAAACCCCAUGAUUCAGUUUUUCACAUAUUCUACUACAUCAUGUUCACAAAUAUUGAACUAAGUUUUCCACCUUAAUGGAAUUCAUUAUUCAAUGGACAUAUUAAGACACCGAUAUAUUUAGUCCUACAUAUUUUGUUUGUAUUGUCUCUGCAGGGAGUUGUGUAAAAACAAUUGCUUUACUGUGAUCCCAGGCAAACCAUCGGGACUCUGCGAUAGAAGAUCCUCCAGGUGAAUCCCCUGGUGGAGGCAUUUGGGAACACGUGUACGGCCAUUAAUGACAAUUCCAGUCU